AGUGAACGCUGGCGGUAGGCCUAACACAUGCAAGUCGAACGGCAGCACAGAGGAGCUUGCUCCUUGGGUGGCGAGUGGCGGACGGGUGAGGAAUACAUCGGAAUCUACUCUGUCGUGGGGGAUAACGUAGGGAAACUUACGCUAAUACCGCAUACGACCUACGGGUGAAAGCAGGGGACCUUCGGGCCUUGCGCGAUUGAAUGAGCCGAUGUCGGAUUAGCUAGUUGGCGGGGUAAAGGCCCACCAAGGCGACGAUCCGUAGCUGGUCUGAGAGGAGGAGCAGCCACACUGGAACUGGGACACGGUCCAGACUCCGACGGGAGGCAGCAGUGGGGAAGAUUGGACAAUGGGCGCAAGCCUGAUCCAGCCAUACCGCGUGGGUGAAGAAGGCCUUCGGGUUGUAAAGCCCUUUUGUUGGGAAAGAAAUCCUGCUGGCUAAUACCCGGUUGGGAUGACGGUACCCAAAGAAUAAGCACCGGCUAACUACGUGCCAGCCGCCGCGGUAA
rnacentral:rRNA from 1 species